AACCAGGACCUUGGCCAAGCCAGUUCACUCAGCAUCAAUUUCCUUAUCUGUCAAGCAGUUGGACAAGACCAGGGGCCAGCAACCUUUUACUGGAAAGGGCCAGAUUCUUUUCAGAUGGACCACAUCUUCUCAUAUCAUCAUGCAAGCUCACGCUCCUUCCUGAACCCUUUCUGAGCCUUCUGCACUCACACCUGGGAAGAAAGGGGAUUGGACGGUCCAGCAAAAACAGCCACAAAUGAUGCACGCAAUAUGUGUAAGUGCUGUGCCAGAGGUAUAGGUGAUGGAGGACAAAACAAAGGAGGUUCCUGUGCUCUUACUAUUUACAGUCUAGCAAGGACGAAGAUAGUCAAUGAAGAAUUAUCCAGGCACAUACAGCCUUCUGAUGUGCAGGGUGACUCCAGGCACCUCUCUAUGGCUGUGAUUUCUGCACCUGCCUUUUGCCUUUAUCUGGUCUUGCCAAGAGACCGCAUAGACUACUCCAGACUCUCCUGGGAUUCACGAAGACAUCAGCCUACCUGACCAGCAUCCCUGGCCCCUGACAGUGGAUACUGAUAGUUCUCGUUUGCCUGAAGCAUUGGCUGAGCUCAGUGAGCUAAGAAAAGUAUUGAGCCAGAGGAACACAAAGUUCUUGCUCCAGUUGCCCCAGCAGGUCUCUGAGCAAGCCAUUCAAUGACCUGUUGUACCUCACUGUGAAAGAAGAGUCGCAGGACAACCUUUAAACCAGCCUCCCUGGGAGGUGGAGGGGAAUCCUCAUUAAGGUAAUUUAGAAGUAUUUAGCGAAGAUUAAGUUCGGGGUCAGUGCUCAGUGUGGUUCCUAAUAAAACCCUUGGCGCUUUGAGGAAGAGCA
rnacentral:lncRNA from 13 species